rnacentral:rRNA from 1 species
AUGAUGGAUACACUUCUAAGCCUUGCUGGCUACGUAGCCGGAAUCGUGUACCCUGUACUGCUGUGGCUGCUGGUGUUUGCCAUCGUUAGCUUCGUCGUCUCCAUACUGCUGCCGUCGGGCAUGGACGAGCACCCCUUGUUCACCUGCAUUGUCACCAUCUUCCUGACAGUGGUGGUGAUGACAACUCCUCGAGAUACAUUUGUAAGCCUUGCUGGCUACCUUCCUGGAAUCGUGUACUCUCUAGUGGUGUGGUUGCUUGUGUUUGCUGCCAUUAGCUUCGUCAUCUCCAUUCCGCUGCCGUUGGCCAUGGACGAGUACCCCUUGCUCACCUCCAUUGUCACCAUCAUCCUCACAGUGGUGGUGAUGAAAACUCCUCGAAAUACACUUGUAAGCCUUGCUGGCAGCCUUGCUGGCUACCUUCCCGGAAUCGUGUACACUCUAGUUGUGUGGUUGCUGGUGUUUGCUGCCAUUAGCUUCGUCAUCUCCAUACCGUUGCCAUCGGCCAUGGACGAGCACCCCUUCCUCACCUUCACUGUCACCAUCAUCCUCACAGUGGUGGUGAUGAAAGCUCCUCGAAAUACACUUGUAAGCCUUGCUGGCUACAUUCCGGGAAUCGUGUAUACUCUACUAGUGUGGCUGCUAGUGUUUGCUGCCAUUAGCUUCGUCAUGAACUUACUGCUGCUGUCGGCCAUGGACGAGCACCCCUGGCUCCCCCCCAUUGUCACCAUCUUCCUCACAGUGGUGGUGAUGACAACUCCUCGAAAUACACUUGUAAGCCUUGCUGGCUACCUUCCUGGAAUCGUGUACACUCUACUGGUGUGGCUGCUGGUGUUUGCCGCCAUUAGCUUCGGCAUGUCCUUACUCCUGUGGUCGGGCAUGGACGAGCACCCCUGGCUCCCCCCCACUGUCACCAUCUUCCUCACAGUGGUGGUGAUGACAACUCCUCGAAAUACACUUGUAAGCCUUGCUGGCUACCUUCCCGGAAUCGUGUACACUCUACUGGUGUGGCUGCUGGUGUUUGCCGCCAUUACUGUCGCCAUUAACAUCGUGUACCCUCUCUUACCGCUGCCGUCGGUCAUAGACAAGUACCCCUUACUCAUGUUCACUGUGACCAUCUUCCUGACAGUAGCGCUAAUGAGAACGCCAUGGGAUACAAUACUUGGCCUUGCUGGCUACCUUCUUGAGACCGCGUACUUGCUGCUGCUGUGGCUUCUUGUGUUUCUGGCUAUUAGCGCAGUUGUUAGUAUACUUGUGCCUUCAGCCAUCAAGGAGUACCCUGACUUAUCCAUCCAGGUCACCAUCGGCCUCACAGUGGUGCUGAGAAUCCCAGCUUUAGGGGGCACAAUCCUCGACAUCGUGUGCCUGCUGCUGGUGUGGUUUCUGUUGUUCUACUCCAUUAGUGCAGUGGUCGGCGGAAUACUUGUGCCGUCUGCCGCCAAGAAGUGCCCCAUGUUCACCUUUGUGUUCGUGGUUGGCCUCACGCUGCUGCUGAUGAGAGUGCUGUGGGGAUGGGGCACAACCGUCCAGCUGCCUGCACGGGUCUCUCUAGCUCCCACGACCUUGCCUUUGGACGAGUUGGUUUUGGAUGAUUCUGUCAGGUUCGCAGAGUCUUGUCAGAUGGAUCUCAUCUUCAGAGACACUGAAGAAAUGAAGGUGGAACACAAGAGGGAUAUGGAGAAGAUCAUCCCAGGAUCCAACCUGCAGGAUCUUAAGCAUGAUGUGCUAUACCAAGGAGCAAUUCCGAGAUUGGUCAUCUACACGGUUACGAUCCUGAUUAUUACCAUGGCCUGCAUGAUCAAAUUCUUUACUGAAAAUGCAUAUCAUGAGUUGAUCAAUAGAUGUGUUCUCAAGGGAAAUGCUUUGGCUAAGGAUGCGCUGGGAAGUUUUCGUCGGCACAUCCUUCGUUAUGCCUUGAGGAUUUCUAAAUAG